UACGGAGGGAGCUAACGUUGUUCGGAAUUACUGGGCGUAAAGCGCACGUAGGCGGCUUUGUAAGUUAGAGGUGAAAGCCCGGGGCUCAACCCCGGAAUUGCCUUUAAGACUGCAUCGCUUGAAUCCAGGAGAGGUGAGUGGAAUUCCGAGUGUAGAGGUGAAAUUCGUAGAUAUUCGGAAGAACACCAGUGGCGAAGGCGGCUCACUGGACUGGUAUUGACGCUGAGGUGGCGAAAGCGUGGGGAGCAAACAGG
rnacentral:rRNA from 1 species